rfam:Streptomyces sp. WM4235 P404contig41.1, whole genome shotgun sequence.
GAGGAAGCCCGGUGAGAUUCCGGCGCGGUCCCGCCACUGUGAACCCCGGGGAGCGAUCCGCGGGGUGAGUCAGGAACUC